GAAUUUUUUUUUUUUUUUUUGAUUUGUUGGAUUAAAUUUCGUUGCAGUUUUUUUUAAUUCAUUUCAUUUUUUUGGGCCCAUUUUAUGAUGUAUUUGCGGUUAUUGAUUGUUUGAGGUUAAAAAGAACACAAAGCACCUAACACAUCAACAUGUAGAUGCUCGGUCAAAGGCCAGGUGUAAAAAAGUGUCAUAGUUAAUGAUUUUAAAUUCUAUAUUAUGAAAUUUAACGGUGUUUCAUUUUUUAUUUUUGCUUUCUUUUCAAGUUUGAUGGUGUUGCAGCUGAACCUAGAUAGGUAAUAAGAAGUGUCCAUGUACCUGGGAGCAAGUGCAUCCCUUUUGCACAGGUAACCAUAAAUUGUCUGUAAAUGAGAGUAUAUACCUGAUGUAUGCGAUGUUUUCUUUUUUAUUUGAUAAAAUUAGAUUGAUUAAAAUGAUACUUAUUUUGUAUUAAUAUUGAUGAUAUAUUUUCCAUUAUGUAAUUAUGUUUGUAGAAAAACAAUAAAACAAAGUUGGCAUGAAACCAACCCUGCUUUGAAAAUUUUGGUCCAUGAUUUGUUAAUAAAAUCUACCGAGCUAUUAAUAGCUUUAAAUUGACCAUUUUUCCAGGUGACACACUGUAUCUUCACAGUCACCGCUUCCAACUCCUAAAUAGCACCGACAUGUGGACGUAUUCGAGCCCUAGAUAGGACCCAUGCCUGCGAGCGGUUCAGUAAUGAACUUCAACCCUAUUUUCGUUUCUUUCUAUGCCCUUACCUUCAUAUUCACUUUUAAUUUCAUUUUAUUUUUAGACGAUUAGAUGAAUUUUCCCUCCAUCUAUUACACAGUUGGUUAAAUUUUGUCUAUCACCAUCGACUUCCGAUCGAUCCGCAACCAGCGAUUUAGGGAUUAUUGCUCCAGGACUGAUAACGGGAUGGAAGUGAAUUGAACACCGCCGAACACCUUUCGUCCGGCUAUUCCACCUGCUGUUGCUUCAUUGAUAUAUUAGUUACUGACACAUGUUUCGGUGUGUUUAAGAUGGAAUGGGCUAAGUGUCUCUGGCCUUUGGAAAUGCUGCCAAGGAAGAUGGUGGCACCAUAGUUACCAAUAUCAAGAAAAAGGAGUAGGGUGAAGUUGAAAGCAUACAUGCACAUGCUAAUAAGGUCUGACAUUGAAUAAUUUUUUCUUUUAGGAAGUUUUAAAAAAUUAUUGUAAAAUUGUUUUAUUAGAUUUUAGGCCCAUAUAAAAAUGUAGCAGAGUAACAAGUAGUGCAUUAACUGUUGGGUCCAUCCCUUCUUGGGGAUCCCCCUCCCCCCGGAUCAUGUGGUGAAAAUGUAGAAUGUUAAUUGGGUAAAUUUUCGAAGUAUGAUGCCAUAAAAUAUGCAAACUAA